CCUACGGGAGGCAGCAGUGGGGAAUUUUGGACAAUGGGCGAAAGCCUGAUCCAGCAAUGCCGCGUGUGGGAAGAAGGCCUUCGGGUUGUAAACCACUUUUGUACGGAACGAAACGGUCUGCUUUAAUACAGUGGGCUAAUGACGGUACCGUAAGAAUAAGCACCGGCUAACUACGUGCCAGCAGCCGCGGUAAU
rnacentral:rRNA from 1 species